UACGGGGGGGGCAAGCGUUGUUCGGAAUCAUUGGGCGUAAAGGGCGCGUAGGCGGUGCGGUAAGUCUGGUGUGAAAUCCCCGAGCUUAACUCGGGAUCCGCGCCAGAGACUGCCGUGCUAGAGUGUGGGAGAGGAGAGUGGAAUUCCCGGUGUAGCGGUGAAAUGCGUGGAUAUCGGGAGGAACACCCGUGGCGAAAGCGGCGCACUGGACCACAUCUGACGCUGAGGCGCGAAAGCUAGGGGAGCAAACAGG
rnacentral:rRNA from 1 species